rnacentral:rRNA from 1 species
GACAGAGGCCUCGAGCGUUAGGCGGAAUCACUGGGCUUAAAGCGUGUGUAGGCGGAUCGUUAAGUACCUUGUGAAAUCCCACGGCUCAACCGUGGAACGGCUGGGUAUACUGGCGGUCUUGGGCCAUUCAGGGGCGACUGGAACAAGCGGUGGAGCGGUGAAAUGCGUAGAUAUCGCUUGGAACGCCGAAGGUGAAAACAGGUAGCUGGGGCUGUGCUGACGCUGAGACACGAAAGCCAGGGGAGCAAACGGG